UGACGCUCAUUUCUAACUAACUUGGGGACU
rnacentral:piRNA from 1 species